AAUCAACAGAUGUUUCCAAUCGCAUGGGCUGUUGUUGACAUAGAGACAAAACAUAGUUGGAGUUUUUUUCUCAAGUACUUGAUAGAAGAUCUGAACUUAGGCACAGGACAUGGACUGACUGUUAUGUCAGAUAUGCAGAAGGGCCUUGUACCAGCUUUAUGUGAGUUGCUACCAGAUAGUGAGCAGAGAAGGUGUGCUAGACAUAUCUGGUCCAACUGACAUCAAUUAUGGAGUGGUGAAGAAAGAAGGAAACAGUUCUGUAGAUAUGCAAAGUCAAGUUUUGAAGUGAAAUUUGAAGAUGAGAUGGAUAAACUCAACAAAUUAGGUAAUAAAAUUUGUGAGGACUUGUUGCAUUAUGAAAA